UGGGGAAUAUUGCACAAUGGGCGCAAGCCUGAUGCAGCCAUGCCGCGUGUAUGAAGAAGGCCUUCGGGUUGUAAAGUACUUUCAGCGGGGAGGAAGGUGUUGUGGUUAAUAACCACAGCAAUUGACGUUACCCGCAGAAGAAGCACCGGCUAACUCCGUGCCAGCAGCCGCGGUAAUACGGAGGGUGCAAGCGUUAAUCGGAAUUACUGGGCGUAAAGCGCACGCAGGCGGUGUUUCAAGUCGGAUGUGAAAACCCCGGGCGCAACCUGGGAACUGCAUCCGAAACUGGCAGGCUUGAGUCUUGUAGAGGGGGGUAGAAUUCCAGGUGUGGCGGUGAAAUGCGUAGAGAUCUGGAGGAAUACCGGUGGCGAAGGCGGCCCCCUGGACAAAGACUGACGCUCAGGUGCGAAAGCGUGGGGAGCAAACA
rnacentral:rRNA from 1 species